rnacentral:rRNA from 1 species
GAUUAACGCUGGCGGCGUGCAUAACACAUGCAAGUCGAACGAUGAAACUUAACUGAUUUCUUCGGAAUGAUUUUAAGUGGAUUAGUGGCGGACGGGUGAGUAACGCGUGAGUAACCUGCCUUGGAGAAGGGGAUAGCCUUUGGAAACGAAGAAUAAUACCCUAUGAUAUGAUAAUAUCUCAUGAUAUUAUCAUCAAAGAUUUAUCGCUCUAAGAUGGACUUGCGUCUGAUUAGUUAGUUGGUGAGGUAACAGCUCACCAAGGCAGCGAGCAGUAGCCGGCUUGAGAGAGUGUACGGCCACAUUGGGACUGAGACACGGCCCAGACUCCUACGGGAGGCAGCAGUGGGGAAUUUUGCACAAUGGGGGAAACCCUGAUGCAGCGACGCCGCGUGAUUUAGAAGGCCUUCGGGUUGUAAAAAUCUUUUGUAUGGGAAGAAAAUGACAGUACCAUACGAAUAAGGACCGGCUAAUUACGUG